rnacentral:snRNA from 1 species
AGCCAUGCGCUGAGCACAGAGCGAACUAUUCUUUCGCCUUUUACUAAAGAAUACCGUGUGCACGGUGCUUUAAAUGGUAUACCCCUAUUUUUGAAAAGGUGCACCUCUGUGGGUGCC